UGGGGAAUUUUGGACAAUGGGCGAAAGCCUGAUCCAGCAAUGCCGCGUGUGUGAAGAAGGCCUUCGGGUUGUAAAGCACUUUUGUCCGGAAAGAAAUCCUUGGCUCUAAUACAGUCGGGGGAUGACGGUACCGGAAGAAUAAGCACCGGCUAACUACGUGCCAGCAGCCGCGGUAAUACGUAGGAUGCAAGCGUUAAUCGGAAUUACUGGGCGUAAAGCGUGCGCAGGCGGUUUGCUAAGACCGAUGUGAAAUCCCCGGGCUCAACCUGGGGAACUGCAUUGGUGACUGGCAGGCUAGAGUAUGGCAGAGGGGGGUAGAAUUCCACGUGUAGCAGUGAAAUGCGUAGAGAUGUGGAGGAAUACCGAUGGCGAAGGCAGCCCCCUGGGCCAAUACUGACGCUCAUGCACGAAAGCGUGGGGGAGCAAACAGGAUUAGAUACCCUGGUAGUCCACGCCCUAAACGAUGUCAACUAGUUGUUGGGGAUUCAUUUCCUUAGUAACGUAGCUAACGCGUGAAGUUGACC
rnacentral:rRNA from 1 species